rnacentral:rRNA from 1 species
CCUGACUGCUAUCGGAUUGAUACUAAGCCAUGUGAGUCAUUGUAGCAAUACAAGGCAGACGGCUCAGUAACACGUAGCCAAUCUAACCUAUGGACGGGGAUAACCUCGGGAAACUGAGGAUAAACCCCGAUAGAUCAUUAUGCCUGGAACGGUUUAUGGUCCAAAUGAUUCGUCGCCGUAGGAUGAGACUGCGGCCUAUCAGCUUGUUGGUGAGGUAAUGGCCCACCAAGGCUAUUACAGGUACGGGCUCUGAGAGGAGAAGCCCGGAGAUGGGUACUGAGACACGGACCCAGGCCCUAUGGGGCGCAGCAGGCGAGAAACCUUUGCAAUGUGCGCAAGCACGACAAGGUUAAUCCGAGUGAUUCCUGCUAAAGGAAUCUUUUGUUAGUCUUAAAAUCACUAUUGAAUAAGGGGUGGGCAAGUUCUGGUGUCAGCCGCCGCGGUAAAACCAGCACCUCAAGUGGUCAGGAGGAUUAUUGGGCCUAAAGCAUCCGUAGCCUGCUCUGUAAGUUUCCGGUUAAAUUCAUUAGCUCAACUAAUGGCCUGCCGGAAAUACUGCAGAACUAGGAAGUGGGAGAGGUAGACGGUACUCGGUAGGAAGGGGUAAAAUCCUUUGAUCUAUUGAUGACCACCUGUGGCGAAGGCGGUCUACCAGAACACGUUCGACGGUGAGGGAUGAAAGCUGGGGGAGCAAACCGGAUUAGAUACCCGGGUAGUCCCAGCUGCAAACGAUGCAGACUCGGUGAUGCGCUGGCUUGUGGCCAGUGCAGUGCCGCAGGGAAGCCGUUAAGUUUGCCGCCUGGGAAGUACGUACGCAAGUAUGAAAC